UCUUGACUGGUGGCAUCUCUCAGGGGGUCUUGCAGCAGAGGACUUUUGCCAUCAUCUGCUACCUGGCUGCUUUUUAACUGGAGGUCUCAGGGAUGGAGAGCGGGAUAUUCAUGCAAUGCUUGUGCCCUGUCCCUGAGCCCGUCGUCUUCCUCUCUUCUGUCCCUCACAGCCAACGGAACGACGCUCCCAAUUCACCCCUGUUCCUUGCUUCCUGCUGAGGGACUGGAAAUGGCUGAAGGUAAGUGAGGUGUUCCCUCGAGCAG